rnacentral:tRNA from 1 species
GCUCCUGUAGCUUAGAGGUUAAGCACCCGGCUCAUAACCGGCAUUUACCCUGGUUCGAAUCCAGGUGGGAGCA